rnacentral:rRNA from 1 species
AUGUCCUCUAGAAAGUAUUUAUCAGGUAUUAGUAACAAAAGGAAGAGAAAAAAGCAAAUAUAUGUAGAGGUAAAAUCCCUAAAUGGGUCACUUGACAAAAUUUUCACAACUAGUAGUUCUCCUCGAGAUCCCCUGGAAUUGGCCAUAAUAAGUGCUGAAGAACAAUCAACUGAGAAUACGGAUGCUACUGAUCAUGAUACGAACGAGGAUAAUAAUAAUUCCAGUGAGCAUGAAAACGUAACUCAUUCACCAAAUUAUGAAUCACCGAGUGUCGAUAAACAACAACUAUUCACCGUUGAUAUUUUUGAUCCACAACACUGGGAUAAUCUGGAUGAUAAGGCUAGAGAUAUUUUAGUUGAGAAGCGUCCUGUAAGAAAUGAUGAUAUUGUGUUCCCUCCUGAUAGUAAUUCUAGACAUUUUCACAAACUUUAUUAUUCCAGAAAGUUGAGCAAUGGAGAGGUACAUGACAGGAAUUUGAUGGUAACACAAAACAUCUUAGUAGCAACCAGUUUUGACAUGAAUUUUUGUUUUGCAGAACAUAAUGAAGUCUCUGUUCAUACUUAG